AUUAAUUACUAGAGCUUACAAAGCCCUCAGAGCCCAGAAGAGGCAAGUGGAACGGAAGAAGUGGCAGGUGGACCGGAAGAUGCUACGGGAGGAAGUGCAGCAGAUGAGGGAGCUGCAAGAGAGGAGGCAGGAAUGGAAGCUGGAGAACGUCGCAAACGUAGUAUGGAUUAUAAAGUCUUCAAUUACGUUGAUGCUCCAAUAUGAGAAGAUACUUCUUGGUGUUUUAUAUAAUGACAUUAUAAUAUGAAUUAAUAUAUUAUUAUGUGAUUUUGUGGAAAUAUAAAAUGUAACUGUAAUAA